rnacentral:misc_RNA from 1 species
AACAUCGCGCACCUGCGGGAACCUGCGGAGGGAUCAUUACGAGAGUGUCACCACUCCCAACCCAUUGUUUACCUACCCGUCCACCGUGCUUCGGCAGGCAGCCCUGUGGGACAGAGCCUCGCCCCCCUCCGCGGGGGGUGCCUGCCGCUGGCCAACCAACAACUCUAGCUGUUUUAGUACCAUCUGAGUCUUCCACAAAUGAACAAAACUUUUAACAACGGAUCUCAGAUCGGAAGAGCA